GCGCCGGUGGUGGAAUUGGUAGACACAGCGGACUUGGGUUCCGCCGCCCCGUCUCCUGCCAGAGACUCCACGGGGCAUUGCGGGUUCGAAUCCCGCCCGGCGCACCA
rnacentral:tRNA from 1 species